rnacentral:rRNA from 1 species
ACACUGACGUCGCGACGCAUAUCAAUAAGCGGAGGAAAAGAAACUAACAAGGAUUCCCUUAGUAACAGCGAGUGAAGCGGGAAGAGCUCAAAUUUGAAAUCUUCAAGGUUCUACCUUGACGAAUUGUAGUUUAAAGAAGUGUUUUCUGUUAGUGGAGUGGCAAAAGUUCUUUGGAAUAGGACAUCAUAGAGGGUGAGAAUCCCGUAUUUGGUUAUUCAUUCUAGCUUUGUGAUACACUUUCAAAGAGUCGGAUUGUUUGGGAAUGCAGUCCAAAAUGGGUGGUAAAUUUCAUCUAAAGCUAAAUAUUGGCGAGAGACCGAUAGCGAACAAGUACCGUGAGGGAAAGAUGAAAAGAACUUUGAAAAGAGAGUUAAACAGUACGUGAAAUUGUCAAAAGGGAAGCGUUCGACACCAGUGUUGUUUUUCCAAAAAUCAAUUACGAAUGGCUUGAUUCUGUGUUGUAUUGACCUUAUCAGCUUUCUGCACUUUUUUCGAGUCUUUCUUAAUGCACUUUUUGGUUAACAAGUCAACAUCAAUUUCUUUUGUUGUAAAAGAGUCAUUCGGAAGGUGGCUUUCUUUUCGGAGAAAGUGUUUAUAGCCCUUAUGCCUCUACAAUCGGAGAGAUUGAGGUCUGCAGCGUAGAUCCUUCGGGGUUAGAUACAUUUGUGCUAAGUUAGUAGCCUUUCAUAGACAACUUGUUGACUAUGUAUCGUCAUGUAGGCUUACUCGCUUAUGCUAUUUUACCUACGCUUAGGAUGUUGAGUCGUAGAGCACGCAG